rnacentral:rRNA from 1 species
UAUGUGAUCGUCUCUCGCAUAUCAUAAGCGGAGGAAAAGAAACUAACAAGGAUUCCCCUAGUAACGGCGAGUGAAGCGGGAAGAGCUCAAAUUUGAAAUCUUAAAGGGUUUCCCUUUACGAAUUGUAGUUUAAAGAAGUGUUUUCUGUUGAGGUUUUGGUAAAAGUUCUUUGGAAUAGGACAUCAUAGAGGGUGAGAAUCCCGUAUUUGACCUUUACUUUCAACUUUGUGAUACACUUUCAAAGAGUCGGAUUGUUUGGGAAUGCAGUCCAAAAUGGGUGGUAAAUUUCAUCUAAAGCUAAAUAUUGGCGAGAGACCGAUAGCGAACAAGUACCGUGAGGGAAAGAUGAAAAGAACUUUGAAAAGAGAGUUAAACAGUACGUGAAAUUGUCAAAAGGGAAGCGUUUGACACCAGUGUUGUUUUUCUGAAAAUCAAUUAAAGAACUGUUUAUGCUAAGUUGUUUAGACUUUAUCAGCUAACUGUUUAGUUUUGAGCUUUUCUUUAAUGCACUUUUCAGUUAACAAGUCAACAUCAAUUUCUUUUGCUGUAAAAAAGCUUGAGGAAGGUGGCUUGAGAUUCGUCUUAAGUGUUUAUAGCCUCUUGCCUAUGCAGUCGGAGAGAUUGAGGUCUGCAGCGUAGAUCCUUCGGGGCUAAAUGCAUUUGUGCUAAGUUAUAGCAUUUUAUAGACAACUUGUUGACUAUGAUUUGUCUUGUAGCUUACUCGCUUAUGUUAUUUUACCUACGCUUAGGAUGUUGAUCUACAGAGCGAGAGU